rnacentral:rRNA from 1 species
UACGUAGGGGGCAAGCGUUGUCCGGAAUCAUUGGGCGUAAAGCGCGUGUAGGCGGCUAGAUAAGUCUGCUGUGAAAGCCCGGGGCUCAACCUCGGGAGGCGGGUGGAUACUGUCUAGCUCGAGUCCGGAAGAGGAGUGUGGAAUUCCUGGUGUAGCGGUGAAAUGCGCAGAUAUCAGGAGGAACACCAAUGGCGAAGGCAGCACUCUGGGACGUGACUGACGCUGAGACGCGAAAGCGUGGGGAGCAAACAGG